AAGAAACUGAACGCUGACAUCUCAGGUGUUCUAACAGAUCUUGUUUUAAAAGAAAGAGGAAACAAUAAAGGAGAUAUUCAAGUGGACGCGCUUGCAGCUAGUGAUGGAUCGAGCAGUCCGUAGGGUUCGCGACGGAGGUGUGUCGUGGAAGCAAAUGCUUCAGUGAAACGGGGACGGUUCUGGUUAUUGCUACUAGUUUGUCAUCGACUUCGCUUUGAAUUCCAAAUUCGUAGAACGAAGACGAAGAUGAGGACGAUAGUGAUGAAGAGAUGGAUGAAGAAACACAGAAUAAAUCUAAGAUCUUACCAUCCAACCCAGAGCCUCCAACCAAACGCAUGAAGACUUUAAGGCCCUGAACAUCCAUGUCUUUGCUCUGACCCAAACCCUUACAUGGGAACUCCAAAGGUCCUCAUUAUCCAUGGGGAAUUACAAGGCAACCUCUGCCUUUGGGACUUUAAGUCAAUCUGAAUACUUCAGUAUUGAAGGCUUAAACAGUAGUACACGAAUGUGCAAUUAUGCCUUUGUCUGCUCAUCCCUUUUGCCCAUUCAUGAUGUUUUGUCUUGGUGCAAUAUGAACUUUUCAUUAAGAGUUUGUUAGAUGUGGCAGUACUGACGUUUUGCCAUCAGUUUUCAGAGUCAACUUUCCUUGAACAGAUCGAAGGUAAUUUCAACAUGUGAUGAUAAAUAUCAUUGUAUAUGUUAAAACGAACAUGUUUGACCACUUUCUCUAUGACACUGAGAAAUAAAUUCUUAUAAAUGUUA